rnacentral:rRNA from 1 species
GACAGAGGCCUCAAGCGUUAGGCGGAAUCACUGGGCUUAAAGCGUGUGUAGGCGGACGCCUAAGUGUCUUGUGAAAUCCCACGGCUCAACCGUGGAACUGCUGGGCAUACUGCGGGUCUUGGGCCAACUAGGGGCAGCCGGAACAAGCGGUGGAGCGGUGAAAUGCGUAGAUAUCGCUUGGAACGCCGAAGGUGAAAACAGGCUGCUGGGGUUGCGCCGACGCUGAGACACGAAAGCCAGGGGAGCAAACGGG